rnacentral:lncRNA from 10 species
CAACUCUUCUCUGUGCCACCCACCCUUCCCCAAGUCUCUUUACAUUUCUAAGCCCUUAUCAAGGGCCAUGGUGAAGCCAGCCGACUUUCACUUAUCAGACCUUGCUGCGAUAAGCAAACCCCAAUUACAAACCACUCAGACCGCAUAGGGGAAGGUUGUGGGAAGCAUAAACAAACUUUACCUACACCCUCCUGUAAUAAACGUCACAAGGUGAUAUGUGGCAAAAUUAACCAGCAAACAACCCCAGGAUGCGGCCAUACCAAAGAACUCCCUCAAGCUACUUUCCCCAAUAUAAACCCCUCAUUCUUCUCUCCCCUUCCCUGAACCUGCCGAAGUCCCAGAGAAUCUCCUAGACUCUCCCACUGCUGACGACUUCAUCCACCAUCAAAGCCUCCGCCAGGCUCCUCGGCCUAGCCACUGAAGACUGACAAGGCCCAGGGCCCCUGGCCCCCACUGCCAUCACUGCAUGGAGCCCAGUGUAACUCUACUGGUAGCAGUUUUUACAGGACCCUAUCAGCGCUUUCACCCACGGGACAAUACAAAAUAUGAUGCUGCUCCAGGAAUACCAGAGGCUCCAAGAACAGCAGUCCCUACCGUCCAGCCUUCCCCGACAACUGUCGCCCUCUCCCAGUAAGAAGCAGCCAGAUGAUAACAGCACCCCUCUUCCAUUACCUAUUAAAAGUCUGGCAUGAGAGGGACAACUGCCCCGAGAAAGCUUCUUUGUGCUGCCCACCCCUCCCCCAAUGCUCUGCAAUUCUUCUCCAUGCCGCCCACCCUUCCCCAAGCCUCUUUACGUUUCUAAGCCCUUAUGUAGUCGCUACGGUGAAGCCAACAGACUUCACUUAUCAGACCUUGCUGCGAUAAGCAAACCCCAAUAACAAACCAUCCAGACCGCACAGGGGGAGGUUGUGGGAAGCACAAACAAACUUUACUACACCCUCCUGUAAUAAAUGUCACAAGGUGAUAUGUGGCAAAAUUAACCAGCAAACAACCCUGGGAUGCAACCAUACCAAAAAACUCCCUCAAACUUCCCUCCCCAAUAUAAACCCCUCAUUCUGUAAGCUUGGUGCUGCUUCCCUUGACUAUUAAGGGGGCAGCCGACAGGUUAAUAAAAACUUGCUCACCUG